ACAGAAACUAGACUGAAUCCCAGAAAGCGAUUGGGGCAGAUUGGGCAAGUGAUUUGCCCAAAUAACUCGCAGAAACUGCCCAAAUCACCUUGACAGCAGAAGUUGACAGCAGAGCGGGAAAAGUGCAGAAAUUAGAAAUUCAAAUUAUCAGAAGUCCAAAUCUAACUCAAUCACUACCAACAUAAUUCCAGGAGCCACGAGACAAUUUCUCACCUAAGGAAUUCCUUUUACAAUUAAAAUCCACAUCCAAAGAGGAAUCAAAGACCAAGUCAAGAAGGGAUUUCAAAACCCUAGAUGGAUGAGACUCU
rnacentral:lncRNA from 1 species